GGAAGAGUCUUUUGUAUCCACCCCUGGAGCCCUGCAUAGGUCCCUGUGGGAAGGUCAGAGCCAGGGUCCAUAUGUUGUCGCAGAGAUAUUGCCCCCAAAAACAGUCUUUUAGAGUGGAAGACCUCGAGUCUAAACGGGUUUCUUGACUUUUCCAAAGUCACACACCAAAAUAAAAUUCAAGGCCUAAGUAACAUCUCCUUGGCAGAUUCUACUUUAUUUUCGGUCCUUGAGUCCCUCAGAGGAGUCCUCACUUUGUAGCUUCUGUUUCUUUCCCCUUCUACAAUCUGUAUAUGCAGGGACUACUAUAACAAGCACUGAGACUCCGGCUGCAGUCGGUAAUGAAUAGUUUCAUAUGGGUCCUUCUCUGAAGCUCAUGAUGCGGAGUGUACCAAGGGUGUGGCUCUCAUUCAAGGGAAACUUUUAGGGGAUGGGGUGAGAGUGAGUGUUGUGAGCAUGUUGUGCAAAGGGACAUCCCAUGUGAACCAGGGAGCCUGGCUUGAGUGGGAGCCUCCUUCUUGGUCCAUCCUCCUGUGGGGAGUGGUCAGCCUGAACAUGGGGUCUCCAAGAAUCACUGUGCUUUGGUUCAGUGUCCAGUGGGAUCCGUCUCUUGUCCACAGUGCCAGUUCUCCCAUCAGAACACCUCUGUGCUGACCCUGGCCAAAGUGGCCCCAAAGACCCGGCUGUGGGGCCAAGAGGACCAGUGGUGAAAUGCUCUCUAAGCAACCUCAGAGCCCCAGACGAGUGUCAGCGCUCCUGCUAUGACAUCCUGGGGCAUCAGGCUACUCUUCAGCAUGAGCAUUCAUGCGUCCCAGAUUCAAGCAAGUUGGAGCUCUGCCCAUGUGUGCUCAGUGAGGGAACCUGUGAAUAGUUUUCAGGUCCUCUCCAGGAUCCACCUGAGAGGGACCGAAUCGGGUUCGGACCUGAGGCUGGUGAAUGGAGGUGACCCGUGUCAGGGCCGGGUGGAGGUCCUGUACCGAAGCUGGUGGGGCACUGUGUGUGAUGACGACUGGGACAACAAUG
rnacentral:lncRNA from 1 species